GAGGCUGUAGCUCACUGGUAGAGCACUUGCCUAGCCCAUGUGAGACCCUGAGUUCAAUCCUCAGCACCACA
rnacentral:tRNA from 1 species